rnacentral:rRNA from 1 species
CGAACGCUGGCGGCGUGCUUAACACAUGCAAGUCGAACGGAAAGGCCCCUUUGGGGGUACUCGAGUGGCGAACGGGUGAGUAACACGUGAGUAACCUGCCCUUGACUUCGGGAUAACUUCAGGAAACUGGGGCUAAUACCGGAAAGGAAUCCUUGCUGCAUGGCGGGGGUUGGAAAGAUUCGGCGGUUUUGGAUGGGCUCGCGGCUUAUCAGCUUGUUGGUGGGGAAGUGGCUUACCAAGGCUUUGACGGGUAGCCGGCCUGUGAGGGCGACCGGCCACAUUGGGACUGAGAUACGGCCCAGACUCCUACGGGAGGCAGCAGUGGGGAAUAUUGCACAAUGGGCGGAAGCCUGAUGCAGCAACGCCGCGUGCGGGAUGACGGCCUUCGGGUUGUAAACCGCUUUCAGCAGGGGCGAAGCUUGUGGUGACGGUACCUGCAGAAGAAGCACCGGCUAACUACGUG